GGUCACCAACGGUCAAGUUCUUUGUCCUCAGACUUGUGUGGUUGGUGUCCCCUCAUACCAGGGUUCCCAUCCCCUUGACGGCCCCGCACUGGGGAAGGCCUCGAGCUCGCAGCCCAGGCCCCGAGUCUCACGCUGCCCUGACCCUCCGCUGGCCAGAGGCAGGGCCUCACCCUGAUGCCCACAGGCCGCAGAGCCUCUGGGGCCACAGCGGUGAUGGAGGCAUCGAGCAGGCGCAGUGAAGUACACCCGCCAGCUCCCUCUCUAAGGGCUGGGACUCGCGACAAAGCAAAGAAAAGCAGUGCAGUCAGGCCCGCCGGCUCUGCAGCCGAGCGCCGUUGGGGACACCUCAGGCCUGACCGCCCCUCCCUCUCCCGAAGCCCCCGGUCCAGGACUCAGCUGAGAGGCUUGAUGAGAGCAAAGUUCCUGCCUUCCUCCCUCCGAGUAAUGACCCUGUGGAGUCUGAGCACGUUCCAGAAGGUUCCAGGAAGGAGGCAGUGAGCUGACUCUGGAGAAAACGCUCUUGGCCAGAAGCCAGCUUCAGGCCAGAUGGGUCCCUGAGGCACUGAGGCGGGUGUACCCAGGUCUCUGGGAGCUGUGAAAGCGCCCAUUUCUGCAUGAACUUGGGGCACACGCAGCCCAGGGGAAUGUGGAUCCUAAGUUUAUCUGUAAGGGGGUCUGGGGGACAUUGAUGGCUGGGGGUGGUUUCUCAUCUGUGUGACUGAUGGGAGAAAGGAGGGAGGCGGGCUGGGCUGGGAAGGAGCGGCUGCUCGUUGGUUUGGCUGGGGACCUGCUCCCACCUGGCUCCAUGGGAGCCUUGGAGCAAGGCAGCUACAGAGUUAGACUGUCCUGAGGCCAGGCCAACCGGCUGGGGGAGGCCCCCAAAUCCAACAUUGACCGUGGAGUUGGGGUACAACCUUGAUGAGAACAUUCAAGGUUCUGGGAGCCUACGAGUCUAGAAUGUGGUGGGGUCCCCAAGGCCCACAGUUUGCAGGAUCCUGUCUAAAGAAUGAAUCUAUAGGGCAGAUUGUGAAUGAGUACAGCCCCUCUUUAUAAUCAUUCAGAAUUUCAAACAGGACAUGAACCCAGUGGCCCAAGUGACCACCCAGGCUUCAGCAGGGAGUCAGCCCCCCUGCCCCCAGGGAUCCUGGUAUCACAGCUGUCGGCUCCCCAGAUGGGGCUCCUCUUACAGCCAGACUCUGUCCUCAUGGAACCACACUCUAGAGGCAGAGACCACGGGUCUGGAGACAGUAGAGGGAGGAGAAGGAUCAGGUGUGGAGGGCAAAGGAUGGUCUUCUGAGGUUGCCUUUGGGCAAAGCCAGGAGUCGAGUGGAUAUUAGGAGCAGAGACCCUGAUGGGGAGUGUGCCUGCUGGUGGAACAGCAAGGAGGCUAGAGGGCGGGAGGGUGAGGUGAGUGAUAACAGGUGGACAGUCAUGGGGCCACCUUAACGAGUACCACAGACAGGGGCUCAGAUGACAGGAAUUUAUCUUCUCACGGCCUGGAGGCUGGACAUCCAAGACCAUGGUAUGUACAGGGCUGGUUCCUCGUGAGGCCAUCCCUCUGUACCUGUCCAUGUCCUGACCUCCUUCUCAUAAGGACACACUCAUCUGGAGUCAAUACCCACCCUGGUGACCUCAUCUGACCUCAGUCGCCUCUUUCCACAGAGUCACACUCUGAAAUGCUGGGAGUCAGGAUGUCAACACAUGAAUUGGGGGGGACACAUUCAGCUGGUGGCAGCUGUUGGUGUCUAAGGAGUGUGCCCAGAGGUGUGCAGUAACCAAGCCUUAAUAAGAGAGAGAGGGUCUCUCCUGCCCUGGCAGGAAUUUUGAAAAUAAUUGAUAA
ensembl:lncRNA